rnacentral:rRNA from 1 species
UACGAAGGGGGCUAGCGUUGCUCGGAAUUACUGGGCGUAAAGGGCGCGUAGGCGGGUUGUUAAGUUAGAGGUGAAAGCCCAGGGCUCAACCCUGGAACUGCCUUUAAUACUGGCAUCCUAGAGUAUGACAGAGGUGUGUGGAACUCCGAGUGUAGAGGUGAAAUUCGUAGAUAUUCGGAAGAACACCAGUGGCGAAGGCGACACACUGGGUCAUUACUGACGCUGAGGCGCGAAAGCGUGGGGAGCAAACAGG